UACGUAGGGUGCGAGCGUUAAUCGGAAUUACUGGGCGUAAAGCGUGCGCAGGCGGUUCGUUGUGUCGGCGGUGAAAGCCCCGGGCUUAACCUGGGAAUGGCAUUUGGGACUGCAAGGCUGGAGUGCGGCAGAGGAGACUGGAAUUCCUGGUGUAGCAGUGAAAUGCGUAGAUAUCAGGAGGAAUACCGAUGGCGAAGGCAGGUCUCUGGGCUGACACUGACGCUCAUGCACGAAAGCGUGGGGAGCAAACAGG
rnacentral:rRNA from 1 species